CAGGAGCUGCUGGCCUUGCGCAAAAAAUAUCUCAGCAGCUUCAGUGAUCUGAAGCCCCACCGCACCCAGGGGAUUUCCUCAACCUCCUCCAAAUCCUCCAAGGGAGGGAAAAAGACUCCUGUCCGGUCUACUCCCAAAGAAAUAAAGAAAGCAACCCCAAAGAAAUACUCGCAGUUCAGUGCUGAUGUGGCCGAGGCCAUUGCCUUCUUUGACUCCAUCAUUGCAGAGCUGGAUACAGAGAGACGACCCCGGGCUGCUGAGGCCAGCCUGCCAAAUGAAGAUGUGGACUUUGACGUGGCCACCAGCUCCAGGGAGCACAGCUUGCAUUCUAACUGGAUCCUGCGGGCACCGCGCAGACACUCCGAGGAUAUCGCUGCCCACACUGUGCAUACUGUAGACGGCCAGUUUCGAAGGAGCACCGAGCACAGGAC
rnacentral:lncRNA from 1 species